UACGAACCGUCCAAACGUUAUUCGGAAUCACUGGGCUUAAAGGGUGCGUAGGCGGCCCGAAAAGUUGGGUGUGAAAGCCCUCGGCUCAACCGAGGAAUUGCGCCCAAAACUGCCGGGCUCGAGGGAGACAGAGGUGAGCGGAACUUAGGGUGGAGCGGUGAAAUGCGUUGAUAUCCUAAGGAACACCAGUAGCGUAAGCGGCUCACUGGGUCUCUUCUGACGCUGAGGCACGAAAGCUAGGGGAGCGAAGAGG
rnacentral:rRNA from 1 species